rnacentral:rRNA from 1 species
GACGAACGCUGGCGGCGUGCUUAACACAUGCAAGUCGAACGGAAAGGCCCUGCUUUUGUGGGGUUCUCGAGUGGCGAACGGGUGAGUAACACGUGAGUAACCUGCCCUUGACUUUGGGAUAACUUCAGGAAACUGGGGCUAAUACCGGAUAGGAGCUCCUGCUGCAUGGUGGGGGUUGGAAAGUUUCGGCUGUUGGGGAUGGACUCGCGGCUUAUCAGCUUGUUGGUGGGGUAGUUGCUUACCAAGGCUUUGACGGGUAGCCGGCCUGAGAGGGUGAACGGCCACAUUGGGACUGCGAUACGGACCAGACUGCUACGGGAGGCAGUAGUGGGGAAUCUUGCACAAUGGGCGGAAGUGUGAUGCAGAAAUGCCGCGUGCGGGAUGACGGCCUUCGGGUUGUAAACCGCUUUCGCCUGUGACGAAGCGUGAGUGACGGUAAUGGGUAAAGAAGCACCGGCUAACUACGUG